rnacentral:rRNA from 1 species
UACGUAGGGGGCGAGCGUUAUCCGGAUUCACUGGGUGUAAAGGGAGCGUAGACCGCCAUGCAAGCCAGGGGUGAAAGCCCGGGGCCCAACCCCGGGACUGCCCUUGGAACUGUGCGGCUAGAGUGCGGGAGGGGCAGGCGGAAUUCCUGGUGUAGCGGUGAAAUGCGUAGAUAUCAGGAGGAACACCGGCGGCGAAGGCGGCCUGCUGGACCGCGACUGACGUUGAGGCUCGAAAGCGUGGGGAGCGAACAGG